AUACCUUUCUCGGCCUUUUGGCUAAGAUCAAGUGUAGUAUCUGUUCUUAUCAGUUUAAUAUCUGAUACGUGGAUCAUUGAUUCACAUGAUAUUAAAUUAAUUUUUUAAUGGGAGAGGGUGUAUUACGGUAGCUUGCUACUGGUACUCUCGUGCGUCGCCCCUGCUUCGCACUACUGCUAGGGCCUGGCGCACCCACC